UUGGGGGGUGUGAGGUCACACAGUCGUCGCCUCCGACCGUCUGCUUGAGCUAGAGGUGAGGCGGCGGUGUGGGUUAGGGUCCGCGGGGGCGGCGCGGGUUAGGGCUAGGUCGUCGCGUCCCGCCCCCCUCCAGCGCCGCCGCGCCGAGCUAGUCCGACCGGACCGAGGGCGAGGCCGAUGGGGAGGGCGUCGGUCGAGCCCAAAAGGCCGGUCGUGGCACAAAGACUCUCUACUGAGCCCGAUUCUCGCUCUCGCUGGCCCACUACGGACCAGGCCUGGUCCGACUGAACCGUAGGGUGCUACUACUAUCGCGCUCCCUUAGUGGUGCAUCCUCUCGACCUGGUGUUGACUUCUUUCCGGGAACCUGUGGCCGGCUCCUACGGUAGAACCUCCGCAUACAAUUCUUCGUACCACACGUCUUGACCUUACACCACGUCUUCCUGUGGCCAGACAAUUCCACGCCGUUCUCGACGGCAGAGGCGACCCGUUUGGUGGACUCCGGACUGGAUUUCUUCCCGUGAAAGUGGUUUCUCCUCCUCUUGGAUUAGUAAUUCGAGGUAAGGUUUUACCCCUUAUUCACCCGAGCUUACCGACGGGCACAUUCAAGUCAAAGUUCGAGUAUAAAAAGUUCAAGUCGUAAGUAGUUUAAUACAAGAAUACGAAGAGGGUACACUCAACCAAAAAAUUAAAUUAUCUAAGGUAUACGAUAAAUUAGCACGUAGACUAAGCCUACAAUCUCAUAGGAAUCAUCUCAAUAAUUCUAGGACUAAAAAACGCACUAUACGAAGAAACUAGAAGAGUACAUACCUAAAUUACAACACUUAUAUACAAAAUACGACAACCUUUAAAGAAAGAACUCAAACACUAUCAAGAAUAAUUCUUGUCUUGUCUUUAUAAUCAAAGUAUCAACAAUAAUUCUUGUCUUGUGUCCAUAAUCAAAGUCUGUAGCAUUGAAUAAAAAGUAAAACUAAGACUUCCAUAACAGGUAAUAUACUUCGGACUAAUAAAAGAACCACGUUGGAUUAUUUCAUGGUUUGAACACUAAGUUUAAUUCAAUAAAACAAUUAAAGUCUUUAUUACAAAUAAAGGGUUAAGGGUGAUUGGGGAACGAAUCUAAAAAAAAGGGGUGUUGGGGCAGGUAAUUAGGUCAUAAUGGUAGACCAACCUAUAGACCACUAGUUCGUAUAGUCCGAAUAACCGGCCUUAAAGUGGAUCAUAAUAGGAGAGAAAAAAAAGACAAGUAAAAUAUACUGGUCAACUGGUGAACAGUCAAUACACUGAACUUAAUACAAGGAACGCUCAAAACACCAUGACGGACGGAAUACGGUUUCGAUAAUCAAACAAAAAAGUUAAUCGCUACAACAAUGGUUUUGUAUCAAUCUAUGGUUAAGUAGAUCUACACGGAAUCAAUAACGUGUAGAUUCACUGAGUAUGUUUGUAAUUUUCCUUUUCUUUUUCUUUUUCUUUUUCUUUUAUGGCCGUGUUUAGAGGCGCAUUUUCGUUACCGUAUCGUGAAUCUACACGUUAUGAAUCCCGUGUAGAUCUACACGAAAUCGCUUCGGCGUGUUUAUUACAAAUAAAGGACGAUUGGUGAACGAAUCUUGGAAAACACGUGUUUAGGUAGUUAACAAGGUUAUAAAAGUAGAUGAACCUAAACACGACUAAUUAAUAUAGUCCGAAUAACUGGAUGUAAAACGGAUCAUAAUAAACGGAACAAAAGUAAGUAAAACGUGCUAAUGAACAGUCAUGAUACUGAAGUUAAUACAAGAUAAAUAUAAGAAACGAUCAAAACACCAUGACAAAUUGUUGUUUCGACAAUCUAAAGGAGUAAAUCACUGACAAUGAGUUGUAUUGACCUAUUGUUAUGACAUGAUAUAACGUGUUAACUAUGUAGGAUAGUUUAAAGGAACCUAGGAAAAAGUCAAAGGACAAUUUUUACGAUGCAGACUAAAAAUAAGACGUAAAACAAAUAGUCGUAAAAAUUGAGACUGGUAAAUAUAAGAAUACAUCUAGAGACUUGAAAGAAAGUAGAUUGAAUAAACAAAUUAAUAUACUAACAGUCAAGAUAGAAAAGCCGUAUUAGAAGUUAUCUGAUUACAACUCGUGUAACACCAAAGUUGACGUUGAUCCUGACAUUCUGCUGUUCGUCGGAAAGACAAACUGACCGUUUUUAUACGUGUUUUCAUUAAAACAAUUUUUCGUACAGGUGGACCAUCGUAAGAACAUGAAACUGUAGUAAGAUAGUAUGUCGAUAUAUCACAUAAAGGUACCUGAAGGUCUCGAUCUCUAACUAGCUUCAAAAUGGUUUUUUUAAACUUAUCCAUAAACAGAACUAACGUACAUGUAUGGACAAAACCAUUAAAUAGGAAUUUCAUUGAAGAGAGAAUAUGUACGUAAAGAAGAGAAAUUAACAGUGACAGUAACAGUGAUUGGAAGUCUUGUACAAGAGUCAACGGUCCCGCGUGACUAUUACUUUAUUUUUUGAUGACCUUGUGAGCUUAUUUCUUUACGGUCGCGUGGAGAUGCGGAUAUAUAGGACGACUUUAUACGGACGUCCGAAGUUUACUUCUCGUCGUACUCAGGCGACUGAAGUCAAAAUCGCUCUUCGACCGGUUACUAGAGGAGGUACCUUUACCAAAUAUACUAGGGUCAAGGUGCACCCCGCUAAAGUAACUACUGGUUCUUCGAGACGGAAUACGAGGGGUCGAAGGUCUACAAAGAAAGUCGUUAAAUGGACCAGACAUGAAACUCAGUUUUUUGGUACCGAAGUACCUAGUUCAUUUGGUUCGUCUUCAAGACUUUCUUAGACUCUAGAGUAAAGGAACCAACUUGCGCCGGUAAUUACCAUGGAAGCUACCGCCGGUACGGAAAAGUUUACCGUUGAAGAGAUGAAGGUCCGGGUACUGACCAGGGACCUUCUACCUCGAGGGAAGUGAGGUUAAACGACCUAGACUAGGUUUGUUGACCAGGUGUAUGAGUUCCUGGACGCGGCGCGUCCCACGGUUGAAACGACUAGGGACGUACGCGAGUAGUCGCCGUUACCGUAGUCGAUUCAAACUCGUGUACACGUACUAUGGUCCCUUGUCGCCAGUCAACCUUCUCGGCGAAGGUCUUCGAGUACGUCAUUCGAGACGUCUCUUGGUCGUCGACAGGCACCCCUCAAGCUCACGGAGAUGACCGAGUGGGACGCUACGAUACCACCUUUGUAGUCUCGAAGUAAAGAACCUUGCCCUAGGGUUGGACAUGCGGGAACAGUUGUCGACAAGCGGGCGGAGCGGAGAAACGGUUCGUAGCGGACUACUCAAUGGCACGAGGCUAAAAAGUAGACGUCGCUCGGGACACAAACAUAGUCUACUCGGUUGUUAGUGGGUUAUGCUUUUUCCUAAAGAGAACGGAGUAGGACUUCUGAGGUCCCGUCUGCGCAAGAGGGUAACCUUGCGCUACGGUGGGUAGAAGGUCACUACGCUAAGCUUGCCCAGAUGUCACCACGUCCGUCCAUAGGCACUCGCUCGCUGUAGGGAAGCUUGGUCUGCUUUAGAGGUUGACCGGAGGUUAUUUCGACAUCUUCUCAGCCAACAAGAAAGUAGAAACAAGGUAAUAGAGCUCAUUGGCGUGCUACGCGAGUGACACCGGCAGGAAGUUUUACGGGUGAGUUGAUACAUUUCUCCAAGUAACAACAGGUUUGUACGCGGUUCGACGGUGUAACGAAGGGUGGACCGUAGGAACACCUCCUCUCCCUCCUUCCUCUCGUGGCUCAUCCUACGGUGUACCUACUGUUCACCAUCGAAACUGAGAAAGAGACAGAGGAGGUCGUCAUACGGUCACUCGUUCUCCACAGCGAAACCUGGCAUGACUAGGAGAACAAACUUACUCAACCUACCUGUAAAAGUUUCGGCCUACCGGCUUCACUCGCGAACCGCGCACAGCUGACUGACGCUCACCAAAGUGAGGGUAAAAAAGAAUAGUACUUUUGAAACGGUGGAGGCAGCGGACGGGCAUGGACAUUGUGACCACACAUGCGAACUUGUAAGGAACCAAAUAAGAUAAGGUGCAUCGUGCCGACAUGCGCCACGGUCGUACAAGACUACAAGAAAGCUCCAAAAUAAUAUACUAGGAUAGACGCUUUAGCUUCUGGUCACCCAAAUCAGACAAACUAUAGCGCUUACGGCCGCAGCGAACCUUCUAGGCCCACAAGUGUACCU
rnacentral:rRNA from 1 species